rnacentral:rRNA from 1 species
GUCAAGUCAUCAUGGCCCUUACGUCCAGGGCUACACACGUGCUACAAUGGCAGGGACAGAGGGCUGCGAGGCCGUGAGGCGGAGCGAAUCCCAGAAACCCUGUCUAAGUUCGGAUCGUGGUCUGCAACUCGACCACGUGAAGCCGGAAUCGCUAGUAAUCGCGGAUCAGCCACGCCGCGGUGAAUACGUUCCCGGGCCUU